UUAUUCUCCAAAGGAGAAUCUCAGCCACUGAAAAUGAAAUAUACUUACCAAAAUUGCUCAUGCUUAAGUUUGUUCUUCAGGUAUCAACUAUUGCCUGUUAUAAGAGAGAAAACCUGGCUGUGAGUUGAAUAAGCACAUCACAAUGAAGUUCCCUGCCUCACCUGUGCAGAAGGAGAGGGAGAAACUGCAGGUGUUCCUGUUGUCUGUGCCUUUGGAGGGAAGAGAGAAGUUACGGUUCAAAGGGAGGUCACUGCUCCAAGGUCACACAAAAUCUCUGUGGAUUCUCUGGAAGUACCCACAUUUCAUUCUCGUUUUCAAACUCCUUCCAGUAUUUCAUCCUUUCUGGCAGACUGUGUUAGACAAAAGAGGCUUCUCCUGUUUGCUGAGAGACCUUCUGCUUGACAGCUUUGUCUACUGAGGAAACAUUUCUUCACAAGAAGAAAUCAGUUUGACUUGAAUCAAUUUGACUUGAUUUUCAUGUUUUCUUUUAGCUGACUGCAAAACCUCUAUCCCAGUAUAAUUAAUUUCCACAAACAUCCCUACAGCAUGCUGGGCAAACUGUAUUGGCCACUAUCCAUUGGAGUUGAAAAUGGAAGACCCAGCUGCACUGGGCAGUUCCUGAGCAAGGGGCAAAGCACAUGCAAGACCCUGGCUAAGCCACUGAAUUCACUGAGUAUAAACUACUUGCACAUGGAUCAUGGGGUCACAUGCAGGGAGCAAUACAUAGCUGGUAGUAGGUGAGCUUGCAUAUCCAAACUUGUUUUUUUUUAAUAGAAUCAUAGAAUGGCUUGGGUUGGAAGGGACCUCAAGGGUCAUCAAGUUCUACCCUCUCUGCCACAGGCAGGAUUGUCAUCCACUAGAUCAAGUACUAGAUCAGAUUGCCCAGGGCCCUAUCCUACCUGGCCUUCCUGGGCAGCCUGUGCCAGCACCUCAUUGCUCUCUUGGUAAAAAAAUCUUCCCUAACAUCUAAUAUAAAUCUUCCUUCCUUUAGUUUAAAACCAUUCCCUCUUGUCCUGUUACUAUCUACCCAUGUAAAAAGUUGAUUUCCCUCAUGUUCAUAAACUCCCUUUUAAAUAUUGGAAGGCCACAAUGAGAUCUACCCGCCGCCUUCUCUUCUCCAGGCUGAAUAAGCCCAGGUCUUUUAGCCUAUCUUCAUAGCAGAGAUGCUCCAGCCCUUAGAUCAUCUUUGUGGCCAUCCUAUGAAUGCACUCCAACAGCUCCACUCUCUCACUUGCGCUGAGAACCCCAGACUUGAAUACAGUACUCCAGCUGAGGUCUCACAAGGGCAGAAUAGAGGGGGGCAAUCACCUCCCUCUCCCCACUGGCCAUCCCUCUUCUGAUGGAACCCAGAAUGCCAUUGGCCUUCCAGGCUGCAAGCAUACACUACUGGCUCGUGUUCAGGUUUUCAUCAGCCAGGA
rnacentral:lncRNA from 1 species